rnacentral:tRNA from 1 species
GCUUACGUAGCUCAAUUAAAGCAUACCGCUGAAGAUGGUAAGAUGGUCCUUAACCGGCCCCGAAAGCA